AUACAGUGCUGCAGCCAAGGAUGACUUGCCGAAAAAGCUAUUUCUUUAUAUUUGGAGAAAUGUAAUUCGGCAAGUCAUUUUUGGCUACAUUUCUAUCUCA
rnacentral:pre_miRNA from 1 species